UCAGAACGAACGCUGGCGGCGUGGAUUAGGCAUGCAAGUCGCACGUGAAGCAGUCCUUCGGGGUUGUGGAAAGUGGCGAAAGGGUGAGUAAUAUAUGGGAUAACUUACCCCUUAGGGGGGAAUAAUCACUCGAAAGGGUGACUAAUACCUAAUGAGGUAUGAGAAACGCAUGUUUUUCAUACUAAAGGUGGGGAUCUUUAGACCUGCUGUUGAGGGAGAGGUCCAUAUCCUAUUAGCUUGUUGGUAAGGUAAUGGCUUACCAAGGCAAUGAUGGGUAGCCGGCCUGAGAGGGUGUACGGUCACACUGGGACUGAGAUACUGCCCAGACUCCUACGGGAGGCUGCAGUCGAGAAUCAUUCGCAAUGGACGAAAGUCUGACGAUGCAAUGCCGCGUGGAUGAAGAAGGCCUUCGGGUCGUAAAAUCCUUUCGGGAGGUAAAAAACGGUCGAUAUUAAUAGUAUCGAUCCUGAGUUCAACUCCUAAAGAAGCUCCGGCUAACUUCGUGCCAGCAGCCGCGGUAAUACGAAGGGAGCGAGCGUUGUUCGGAAUCACUGGGCAUAAAGAGCACGUAGGCGGUCUAAGUAGUUGAAAGUGAAAGCCCCCAGCUCAACUGGGGAGGGUCUUUCAAAACCAUCAAUCUUGAGUGUGGGAGGGGUAACUGGAAUUCCUGAUGGAGCGGUGAAAUGCGUAGAGAUCAGGAGGAACGCCGGAGGCGAAAGCGAGUUACUGGCCCAUUACUGACGCUAAGGUGCGAAAGCUAGGGGAGCAAACAGGAUUAGAUACCCUGGUAGUCCUAGCUGUAAACGAUGGGUACUAGGAUGGGGUGCGUCUCGCAUCCUGUUCGAAGCUAAUGUAUUAAGUACCCCGCCUGGGGAGUAUGGUCGCAAGGCUAAAACUCAAAGGAAUUGACGGGGGCUCACACAAGCGGUGGAGUAUGUGGUUUAAUUCGAAGCAACGCGAAGAACCUUACCCGGUCUUGACAUGGACGAAUUAGCUCUAUGAAAGUAGAGUGACGCCUUUCGGGGUGGAGCGUUCACAGGUGUUGCAUGGCUGUCGUCAGCUCGUGUCGUGAGAUGUUGGGUUAAGUCCCGUAACGAGCGAAACCCUUGUCUUUAGUUGCCAGCGAGUAAUGUCGGGGACUCUAAAGAGACUGCCUGUUUUAAGCAGGAGGAAGGUGGGGAUGACGUCAAGUCCUCAUGGCCUUUAUGACCGGGGCUACACACGUACUACAAUGGAUAACACAAAGGGUAGCCAAGCAGUGAUGCGGAGCCAAUCCCAAAAAAUUAUCCUCAGUUCGGAUAGAAGGCUGCAAUUCGCCUUCUUGAAGCCGGAAUCGCUAGUAAUCGCGGAUCAGCUACGCCGCGGUGAAUAUGUUCCUGAGCCUUGUACACACCGCCCGUCAAGCCACGAAAGCCGGGAGGGCCCGAAGUCGCUAACUCAACUGCUUGCAGAGAGAGGUGCCGAAGGUCAGACCGGUGAUUGGGACUAAGUCGUAACAAGGUAUCC
rnacentral:rRNA from 1 species